GGAUCAAAAUAAAGACAUAGUUGAUGGAAAAACAAAAAAAGCAUGGUUUAUACUUCAGCAUUGACCCUACGCAGCAGUGACCAACCCGGACGUGAGCACUUCAAGAUACGGCAUCAAUUCGAUGCAGAACUAUACCAGGUUUAAAGCCUCUGUCCUCCUCUUACCUCUGAGCAGCAUCAACCAGCAGCUUCCUUUGUUGUUCAGCAACAACAGAAAAGAGGCGUGGCAGCACCUUACAGUUGUUCCUGGUUACAGAGUGAAAGAAACGACGCGCCCGUCCAGCACUGUGGUAACGGUUCUCCACCUGUAACACGGGUUGAUUGGGGGUGAACCAUUAGACCAAACUAGGGGGACUAACUCAGAUGGAAAUACUUGUAAAGAGAUAGGAAAGGACUGGAGGAGGGAGCAGAGGGGCGCUGCUGGACCAGGUGGAGAGCGAAGAGGUCAGCAUCUGUCUCAGUGUUGCCAGUGGAAACACAUUGAUGCUGUUGUGGUACCGAAGCAAUGCUGCCUGCUGCACUGCUAUUUCCUCACACUCUGAAGCUAGCCUGUUCACACAGCGCCGGUUAGUGUGACUGGAAUCACCCGCCGACUGGCUAGGAAGCUCAGUUUUCUCAUGGCCAAGUUUCAGCGUGCGGUGCAGCUCCUCCAUCCGCUCUAUGGCCUGGCUAUAGACGAGGUUAGCUGCUUGGAUUCCCAUCGUGAGGCUUUCCAACCUCGGGCCCCAACCUCCCCAACUCUCGCCUCCCCGCUGUCCCAGAACGGCUCAAAGAACUCAACCUGAAGAAACACACACAAACAUAAACUGACUGAAUCAACCACGCUCUCUUUAUAUAGACUACUGGAGCUCUGUAAUGUGUACUCUUAUAUUUCUAUAAUACAAAUAAAAUGAAAUCAA